rnacentral:rRNA from 1 species
UACGAAGGGGGCUAGCGUUGUUCGGAUUUACUGGGCGUAAAGCGCACGUAGGCGGAUCUUUAAGUCAGAGGUGAAAUCCCAAGGCUCAACCUUGGAACUGCCUUUGAUACUGGGGAUCUUGAGUCCGGGAGAGGUGAGUGGAACUGCGAGUGUAGAGGUGAAAUUCGUAGAUAUUCGCAAGAACACCAGUGGCGAAGGCGGCUCACUGGCCCGGUAUUGACGCUGAGGUGCGAAAGCGUGGGGAGCAAACAGG